GAUGAACGCUGGCGGCGUGCCUAAUACAUGCAAGUCGAACGCGCAGCGAGAGGUGCUUGCACCUUUCAAGCGAGUGGCGAACGGGUGAGUAACACGUGGAUAACCUGCCUCAAGGCUGGGGAUAACAUUUGGAAACAGAUGCUAAUACCGAAUAAAACUUAGUAUCGCAUGAUAUCAAGUUAAAAGGCGCUACGGCGUCACCUAGAGAUGGAUCCGCGGUGCAUUAGUUAGUUGGUGGGGUAAAGGCUUACCAAGACGAUGAUGCAUAGCCGAGUUGAGAGACUGAUCGGCCACAUUGGGACUGAGACACGGCCCAAACUCCUGCGGGAGGCUGCAGUAGGGAAUCUUCCACAAUGGGCGCAAGCCUGAUGGAGCAACGCCGCGUGUGUGAUGAAGGCUUUCGGGUCGUAAAGCACUGUUGUAUGGGAAGAAAUGCUAAAAUAGGGAAUGAUUUUAGUUUGACGGUACCAUACCAGAAAGGGACGGCUAAAUACGUGCCAGCAGCCGCUGUAACAC
rnacentral:rRNA from 1 species